GACGAACGCUGGCGGCGUGCCUAAUACAUGCAAGUAGAGCGCUGAAGGAUGGUAUUUGUCCCAACUGGAUGAGCAGCGAACGGGUGAGUAACGCGUGGGGAAUCUGCCUUUGAGCGGGGGACAACAUUUGGAAACGAAUGCUAAUACCGCAUAAAAACAUUAAACACAAGAUUUAAGUUUGAAAGAUGCAAUUGCAUCACUCAAAGAUGAUCCCGCGUUGUAUUAGCUAGUUGGUGAGGUAAAGGCUCACCAAGGCGAUGAUACAUAGCCGACCUGAGAGGGUGAUCGGCCACACUGGGACUGAGACACGGCCCAGACUCCUACGGGAGGCAGCAGUAGGGAAUCUUCGGCAAUGGACGAAAGUCUGACCGAGCAACGCCGCGUGAGUGAAGAAGGUUUUCGGAUCGUAAAACUCUGUUGGUAGAGAAGAACGUUUGUGAGAGUGGAAAGCUCAUCCAGUGACGGUAACUUCCCAGAAAGGGACGGCUAACUACGUG
rnacentral:rRNA from 1 species